ensembl:lncRNA
CUUGUUCUUCUUCAAAAAUCUUGAGGGAAAGGAAGGGAGGGGAUGAGCCUGUGUGCCCUGUCAUUUCUGUUCACAUGGACACAGACUGGCUGAGGGCUUGUGUUUGCUCCUCAUCAAUGCAACAUUGGAAACAAACCUGCCAGCUGAAGCACUGUGUCCUUCAUGCAGGCCAAAACCAGUAGCAGCCCUGCAAGCUCUGGUUUAUAACUGACUUCACUUCUCUCCAUGAGCUCACACAAACAGCCACAAGCCAUCCCGGAAAGUCACAGCCCUGCCUUCCAUGGAGGGGAAACAGGAAUGAGGGAGAUGCUUUCAGGAGCUGGUGGUGGCAGAGGCAGCCUGCAGAGGCAAUCCCUGGCUGCAGGAGUAUUAGUGCACCUUCUAAUCCUCAGUUCUGAAACAUCUGUGGAGGAGCUGAUAACUUGUACAAAGUGUGCAUGGGCUGAGGCACGGACAAUUUGUGUUCUUCCUUCAAGCAUCCCAAGGGCCCCUGGAGCCUCCUGGCCACCAAGACAGGGAGAACAACAGAAAAGGCCACCUGCAGUGGAAAGCACACCCCAGGAGAGAUGGGGCUUGGAUGUCCCAGGUCACUGGAGGCCCCUGGAACAUCCCCCACUCUCUUUGGGCUGAAGGGUCACGGAGCCACACCGCAUCAGCUUGCACCCGUCACUUCCUCUCCUUUUAUUGUGGUUUCUUCCUCAGAAAAGAGAGGCUAUGGCUGUGCCCUGUCUAAAAAAAUGCUUUGAGACCUUUGAAUGCAGAAGUGCAAAGGGGAACAGGCAGCUGCUUGCUGCUGUGGCUGCCACUGCUGCUGUCCUCAGGAAGGCAGGCAGGGCCACCAGGCUGAGCCUUGGCUGGUUUGUUAGCACCUGAAUGUGCAAAAAAUAAUUAAAUAUAUGUAAAGCAGAGGACAAGCACCAAAUUCCUUUAGUUUAUUCCUACAUAAAAAAAGUUAAUGCUUUCAGGUUUCAGUCAUGGGGAAAAAUCCAGGAGUAGCCUGUUUUUCCUUCCCAGCUUUACCUGGUUGCCCAUCCUUGUCAUUGUCCCCUGACAUUUGCCAGAUCUGCUUCAUAUCAAUGCCAACCACACAAACAAUGCUCUGCUCUCUCUCUGUUCAGCCAGUCUCCCUUACCUGGCACUCAAAAGUACAAGUACUCAGCUGGCUAUGUGACUACAGACAGAGCCACAGCUUGCACAAUUAAAAGACCCAUCAGUCAGAGAAUUAAAACCCAGGGCAGAAGGACCAUGACAUUGCAGAAGGACCAUGACAUUGCAGAAGACACUCCUGGAAACAAGUGACCCAGUGGUUAUCUGCCAUGCCAUGCCUGCCCACUUCCAGACUGCUCUGAAUAUCUCACGCCAGAGCUCUCAGAACCUCUGUGGCUAUGCAGGGAAUGUGGAUUUCCCUCUUGAGCCCAGAGCCACAGCCCUUUGGUGCCCGCAGCAGGAGUGUGAGUGUGGCCCUCUCUCCUCACAGGUGGAGCUAAUGUGUUAAAUGACCUUCUACCAUCUCAUGUUGUUUGCAGACAGGUCUGUCAGGCCUGGCUGUCACUUGUCCUGCCAAGUCCCUGAGGCAGAUCAGUGUUGGCAGAGAGAUGGAAAAUUGCUGCCUCCCUUCUUAACUUUUAUU